rnacentral:misc_RNA from 1 species
GGAACAGAUAUCUCCUUACUGCUAAUAGCAGAACCCAUGUGGUUUUUGAGAUCUUCUCUUUAAUCAUCAACAGCAGUGCGGAGCUUAGAACUGUCUUCAGGAUCUGAGGCUGUAACCCUUUAAAGAAUCCCAUGAGCCCUUCCUUUUUCCAUAUGGCAUGAAGUGAUCCAGAGAUUGUUUUUCGGGCUUUUAACUCCGCUUCAUCCUCUGCAUCUCCU